rnacentral:lncRNA from 1 species
GACGCGUCACCGUGCAACGCGGCGCAGCUGCAGCGUGAUUGUAGAUAUUUCUUCAGGAACAAGAAACGGAGAAAACAACCAAUGUUUGCUAUGAUUUCUGAUGUUUCAUGGAGAACUUUUCGGGACUUUUAACACAUUUUUGGUAAGUCUGGGGUCUGUUUACUACAAAUCUCAUUUAAUUGAGCUUGUAGAAAAUGAAAGGGAUAUUGAUUGCAAAGAGAUUUAAUGUAUCGAGGUGAAAACUGCGAAUAAAAGUGGAUCGGAUUAAUUCACCGUGACACGAUGCCGGAGGACAAACGCUGUAAACUGCUGGUGGCUUCAGGAACCUUCGAUCAGCAAAAGAAAAGAAAGAAGAAAUCAAAGAGGAAUAAAGCUUCAACCCCAGCAGCAGAAAAUACAGAGAAAGACCAGGCUGCAUUGUUGCCUCUGACCUCCCAGAAUGCACCACCACAUAGUCCGCCUCAGCCUCAAAUUCACAUUUCCAGGCUCAGCGUUAGCAGCAAGAAGAGCAGCAGCAGCAGCUGCAGGAAAAUCAAGACCAUCCACAAGGACUCAUCAGAACUGGAGCUGAGGCAGGCCACAGAGAGCCUGAGGUGGGAAGGGAUUCUGCAGGACCCCAAGGCUGAGGCGGAGAGACUGGAGCAGUACAGAUCCGACAGGCGGCGGCGUUACAUUGUACACAGAGAGACUUUGAUUAAACAAACCCACGAAGCUCUGAGACAAAAGUUAAGCAAAGAGUGCAGACAAGCAAAGUCUGAUCCAUUAGCUUUGUCUUUCAACUAAAUCAGUGGUUCCCAAUCUUUUUUGUCUCGUGUACGCCCUUUGCAUUUUUUUCAAAUCAUGUAAGACUUCAAAGGAACCAUCAAAGGCAAUCAGCAGAACUCCUCUGAGGAAGACUGGCAAUUGACCGUCGAAAUAUGUCGGAAGAUAACAGAAAUUCCUGAAAAAUCUUGACUGAAAAAAUGAAACCUCAACAUAACAUACCCUCCUCUCUCUCCUAAACCCCUAACUAUGUCUCCAACAUCGGUUUCCGAAGACUUGAUCUACAAAUUCCAAACAAUGACUAUAAUUUAAAGUGGAAUGAAUUUAUUGUUUAAAUACCAUGCAGCUUGUAUGUGAUAAGUACAUUUCAGUCUCUUUUGUAAAAUGUAGCUAUUUUUUUGUCUCCUAAUUGUCAGAAGUUUGAUGAAAGACCAUCUACGGCAUAAAAUAAUUCUCUUUCAAUAAAUUACAAGAAAAUAUAGUAUUUUAUUGAGCA